UUUACUUGUAUUUCAAAUGUGUCAACUUCAACACCAGAAUUUCCAAAUUUCAUUCAUAUAAAUUUUAAAUCUAUCCUAACAUAUUUUCCUAAUUGGUUUUAUAUUUACAGGAAGUCUAAAAAGAGAUUUUGGAGUUCUAAUUUACUACAGAGCCCUUUUAAAAAUUUUAUAUUGUGAACUUAAGUAGUCUUAUUCUAUACAUUUAUAGAAAUUCACAGUAGAUAGAACAUUGGCUCUGAUGUCAGGAGGGCCUAAGUUCAAAAUUUAGCCUCAGAUAUGUACUAGCUGUGUGACAUUGGAAAGAAAAAAAAAAGGAGAGGAGGAGGAGGAGAAAAAGAAGAAAAGAAAAGAAAUUCAGUGUGGAUGGAUCACAGAUCUAGACAUGAAAGGGCCUCUGAAGCCUAUCUACACUACAGCUGCAGAAACUAUGCCGGAAAAAUUGAAUUAAUUUAAGGUCCCACAGUUAAAAACCAGAAGAGAUAAACUUUGAACUCACAUUCUCCAAGCCCAGAGCAAGCUCUCUAUCACACUACCCACUAUGCUUCACACAGUGCAGUAAAAUUAAACAAAGCAAAAUAUUAUUUUCAAGGUCACAAUUCAAAGCAAAUUUCCCUCCUAUAAUUACUCCUCUCAGCAAUCAAGUUUGCAUCAUUAAGUUAGUUGUCAGAGGAGAUAAAAUGAGAUCUGAAUGAACAUCCCUAAAUUUGACUAGUAUAGAGAAAACUCCUUUUGUAUAAUACCAAACAUAACUAAAAGGCUUAACAGCAUUUUCUCAAAAGAUUUCCCACCCAUAGUUUGUUUAAAGGAACACUUCAGAAACUUAAGGGGAAAAAAAAGUUUUCAUUAUCUUAUUAGAAAUCCUAAAAAGUCUGAUUCAAAAUGAAAGUACUCCAUCCCACCCUUCUACCCUAUCUUAAAAAUGAAUAUUUUGUGAAUACUGUGAUGAUGAAAUAUAAAAAGAAAAUACAUAUCUAUUAAGUAUUGACAAGUGAUGAAUAUCUUAUCUUAAAAAACCAGCAUGAAGAACAAUUAGCUACUAUCAUUUUAAUAAUGUCUUUCUUAAGUUAAAAUCUAUACAUUAGUGAAAAAACGAAAUUUCUGAGAGACAUAACAACCUCCCCCAAAAGUUGUAAGUGAGCCUGCCCAUACAUAGCAAAGUUCUGAUGAGGUCAUAGAACCAUUAUUUUCUCACCUAGUGUGGUCAAAGUUCUGAGGUGCAACCUUAUAAUGGUACCAUAGUUAUCUACCCUAAGGAAAAAUUCUACAAAGAGUAGUCUAUGGAAGAACUUUUUAGAGGAAAGUUUCCAAGUUUUGCUGACUCCAUUAUAUACAUAGAAUUCAUAACCUAAUCAUAAAUGAAUACAAAAUAGUUUGGGGGACUCGGGAUGAGAUUGGAUCUCCCUCACUCAGUCUGGAAGUGCAUGAGCCUGAUCCCACUAGUGAUCAGUACAGGUGCUCGUUUCUCCCUCCUAACUGUGAAUCUACAAACUUCUUAAGACCAGGAGAAAGAUUUCCACUGAGUGAAUAUGCAAAGUAAGAGUAGAAAAAAGUUAAAUGCCUAUGAUAAUCAAGAGGGAGAAGAUGAUGAUGGCAGCAGAGGGAUGUCCUGACGAAUGAAGAAGAGCCAUGAAACUGAAAAGCAUAGAGGGAAUAAAGCGCACUGGGAUGCAGCAGUUCAGGAAAUCACCUUGUGAACCAGAUUUAGAGACUACUAAGAGCCCAAGCACAUCAAAUGGAAAAUACCAAUCCAACUUCGGAACUAAUAGAUAGCUAUCCUGCUUAUUGUCUACUUCAAAAUUAUUACAUUAGAAUUUAAAAAUCUUCUAUUUAAAAGUUGACUUUGAUUUAGUAUAAGUCUUAGCUUAAUAUUCACAAUCCAGAAUCUUAGGCUCAUCCUGAAAUUAAAAAUCAAUUUUAAAGAGCACAUGGAGAGAAAGGC